CAGCAGCCACGGUAAUACGAAGGGUGCAAGCGUUAAUCGGAAUUACUGGGCGUAAAGCGCGCGUAGGUGGUUUGGUAAGAUGGAUGUGAAAUCCCCGGGCUCAACCUGGGAACUGCAUCCAUAACUGCCUGACUAGAGUACGGUAGAGGGUGGUGGAAUUUCCUGUGUAGCGGUGAAAUGCGUAGAUAUAGGAAGGAACACCAGUGGCUAAGGCGACCACCUGGACUGAUACUGACACUGAGGUGCGAAAGCGUGGGGAGCAAACAGGAUUAGAUACCCGCGUAGUCCCUGUCUCUUAUAC
rnacentral:rRNA from 1 species